GUCGAGGUGUCCCAUUGCUGCGACCUUGGCACUGAAUUGCAUCGACAGCGAAAACGGCCAACCCUGCGAACGCGCAUAGCGCAGGGUCUCCAAAUGGCCGCCUAGGGCCGCCGCUUUGCAGACGUGAUGGGUGCGGUCCUUGGUGCGCAAACCGGCCAUCAGGGCCAGUGCGGGCGUGUGGCCGACGCUGGCCGCGUCGUGACACAUGGAGAUUCUCUCCCACGACGAGAAAGACCGGCGAGCCGCGCUCUCGACCAGCACAUCGGCAAGGCCGGGCUCUAUGGGCGAGUCUGGUCGGGAACGCGACCGAGGUAAAGAUCGACACGAUCGUCCAUGCUCACGUCGGCGGCGACGCGCGCACAAGGCGACCAUGAGGCCAGGAUCGCCACACGUAUAACCGUUUUCGCGCAGAAAGGUCACGCAGUCGCCGUGUCCCGCGGCGAUGGCGUGUGCCAUGGCGUCGCGAUCCUCAUCGCGAUAGCCCUCCUUGUCGUGCAGGAAGCGCAGACAGGCGACGUGGCCCCUCGAUGCGGCAAUCGUCUUGGCCCUCGGUGCGCUCGGACAGCCAUGCGACCACAAAAAGGCCAAGAUGUCCACGUGGCUUUGGGCGACCGCGGCGACAAAGGUGCGCCUGUCCCAUAGAUGUCCGAGGUCGCGCAGAUAUUCGAGUACGCUGAUAUGGCCGCCAGCAGCGGCCGCGGUACACAUGGCUGCGUUGGUCUUGUCCCACGGCGGCUGUCUGCGCAGCGCGUAAUCCAAACAGUCGAGGUGGCCGUUCUUGGCGGCCUCGAUGCACGUCCUGCGGUCCCAGUUGCAGCCGUUCUCGCGCGCAUAGACAAGGCAAUCUUUGUGCCCGUUGGCCGCCGCGGCGGCGCAUGUGGCUCUGCCCCAAAUGUGACCGGCCUCGUGCGCAUGGCGCAGACAGGAAAGGUGGCCGGCAGCGGCGGCCGUCUUGCACCACAUUGACGUGUUGCGCAGGUCGACACCCGAUACACAGGGCGGCCUCUUGGACGGAUGGGUGUCGUCGAGUAUGCGGCGCCAUCUCUUGUCGACGGCGCGCGGGGCCUUGCCGGCGACGACGCAGGGCAGGAACGAAAAGAUCGACACCAACAAUUCGUCGGGUAGGUCGUUCAUGACGCCGGCGGCGGUAUCCGUAUUUUUCUCUUUUUGCUUUGAAUGCAGAAAAAAACAGACAAUGAUGCAAGUCGGCGCCUGAUUUUAGCGUCUAC
rnacentral:lncRNA from 1 species